AUAAAUGUCAUUUGUGAUGUAUCUAAGUUAUUGAAUUUUGUUCUAUUUGCAGAUGACACAAACAUUUACCUCUCAGGAAAUGACUUAAAUGAAUUGGUAAUUAGUAUGGAACAAGAAAUGGUUAAAGUGAAGGAAUGGUUUGACAUUAAUAGGUUGUCAUUAAAUCUAAAGAAAACAAAGUUUAUGAUUUUUUAUAAUAGAAAAAAAGAUGAUAGUAUUGUACUAUCAAUAGCAGGAACAAAAAUAAUGAAAGUUAGGGAAUUUAGGUUUUUGGGUGUGUUAUUAGAUGAAGGGUUUACUUGGAAACCACAUAUCUUAUACAUACAAAAAAAGAUAUCUAAGAGUAUUUUUGUACUAAAUAAGGUAAAACAUGUGUUAGAUUAUAAGGCAUUGAGAACUUUGUAUUGUGCACUGGUGUUGCCCUACAUCAGCUACUGUGUGGAGGUGUGGGGAAACACAUAUCAAAGCAAUACAAAGUCACUCUUUCUAUUACAAAAGAGAGUCAUACGAAUUAUAUUUAAAACAGAUUAUAGAGAGCACACAAAUGCCUUAUUUUUUGGCUCUAAAUUGUUAAAAUUUAAAGAAUUGGUCGAAUUACGGACACUUAUUCUUAUGUUUAAAGCAAAAAAUAGAGUAUUGCCCACAAACCUUCAACACUUGUUUGUCCUUAUAGAAAAUGAAGGAAGAAGAAAGGGACAUUUUAGGUAUCAAACUGUAAGGACAACAGCAAAACAAAUGUGUACUUCAGUGGUGGGAGUGAAAGUUUGGAAUUCUCUACAAAAUGAACUAAAGCAAUGUAAAAAUAUAUUUCAGUUUAAAAAAAGAUUUAAAGAGAAAACAAUGGAUUUGUAUGAACACUUAUAGAAAUUGAUGAUGAUGAUGAUGAUGGUUGUGAUCAUGGUUUGCUUUUGCUUUGGAAUCUGUUUUAGGUUGAUGUUUUGGUUUCUAGUUUGUUUCAUUUGUUAUCGUCAUGCAUUGACGGGGAUUUGAUAUGUUGUUGUUGUUGUUUUUUUAUUGUUGAGGGGGCAGGAAAUAUAAGAUAUUCUUCACCCUGCCUCCUUUUCAUCAUGGUUUU
ensembl:lncRNA